rnacentral:rRNA from 1 species
UCUACGGGAGGCAGCAGUGGGGAAUUUUGGACAAUGGGGGCAACCCUGAUCCAGCAAUGCCGCGUGAGUGAAGAAGGCCCUCGGGUUGUAAAGCUCUUUUGUCAGGGAAGAAACGGUGAUCUCUAAUAUAGAUGCUAAUGACGUACCGAGAUACGUACU